GCUCCCCUCCUCUGGGCUGUCCUCCCAGGAACAGCGUCUCUCUGUGUGUCUCUGUGUGUGUGUCUCUGUGUGUGUGUGAGAGAAAGAGAGAGACAGGCAGAGAGCAGCAGGAAAUGGGAACAGAGUGAGGGCUACAUACAGCAAUGACAGUGGCCUGGUCUAUACUACCAGGCUGGGUUCAAUUCAGCCGCGUUAAGUUGAUUUUAAAAUGACUGCGUCCACACAACCGACCCCAGUCCGUUGACCUUAAAAUCCACCGCUGUACUCCUCCCCGACAAGGGGAGUAGUGCUAAAAUCGACCUUGCUGGGUCAAAUUUGGGGUAGUGCGGAUACAAAUCGAUGGUAUUGGCCUCCAGGACCUAUCCCAGUGUGACCGCUCUGGACAGCACUUUCAACUACCCCACCACUGUCCCUGGACACCUGCAAGGGGGGAGUCUCAUGCAUCAGGGAGGAGGAUUUUGUGGAUGCGGGGGAGGAAGAGAAUGAGCAGCAGGCACGUGGUGAAUCCGUUCUCCCCAGCAGCCAGGACCUUUUCAUCACCCUGGAGCCAAUACCCUCCCAAGGCGGGAUCCCCGACCCUGAAGCCGGAGAAGGCACCUCUGGUGCAAAUGUUUUUACUCUCCCGCUAUCAUCUCUGUCCCUGAGGUUAUCGCAGAUUAGAAGGCGAAAAAAACGCACUCGAGAUGCCAUGUUUGCCGAGCUCAUGCAGUCCUCCCCCACUGAUAGGGCACAGCUGAAUGCAUGGAGGCAUUCAGUGUUAGAGGCCAGGAAAGCAUUAAGUGAGCGUGACGCAUAGAGGCAGAAGCGCAAAAUGUGGAAGCAGGAGGUGAUGCUGAGGCUAUUGGGAGAGCAAACGGACAUGAUGAAGCAUCUGGUGGAGCUGCAGGAAAGCCAACAGGAGCAUAGACCCCCACUGCAUCCAUUGUAUAACAGCCUGCCCUCCUCCCUGAGUUCCAUAGCCUCCUCAUCCAGACGCCCACGAAUGCGGGUGAGUAGGCUCCGGGCACCCAGCCAGUGCACUCCAGAGGAUGGUACAUACAACAGAAGGCUGUCAUUCAAACAGUUUGAUUUGUAGUGUGGCAACAAAAAGCAAUGUGGCCUUGUCCUUCCCUCCUCCCCCACCUCACCUGGACUAUCUUGUCAGUUUUCUCACUUUUUUUUAAUUAAUAAAGAGAGAAUGCAUGGUUUCAAAACAA